UACUUCUGAUGUUCCAAGACAUGCUUAAUCAUUGCUGUUAUUAUUGUUAUUGUUGUUGUUCAUGCAAUAAUUUAAAUUGUAAUGGAAUUUUUGCAAUUAAUACUUGAAAACAAAACUCAGCGCAACGAUGGCUUAUUGUUCUAUAGUUGUACGAUAAUGAUUAAGUUAGAACUACGGUUAUUAAUAACUAUUGAAAAAGCUAGAAUCUGCUCAGUGAAUGAUGCGAGUACUAGACGUAGUAAUAUUAGCGUCGAUCCAUCACAGUAAGUUGAUGAUACCUAAGAUCAGUCGCUAGUUAAACGUUGGCUAAGACGGUUUAUUAAAUAAUUGAAAACGCGUAUGUGAGAAAAAUAAUUUUUUUAUAUAAAUAUACUAACAAGUCGUUCAGCAUAAAAAAAAAAAUAUAUAAUAAUAAUCAAAUAUAGCAUAAAGAGAAGAAUUUUUUAUGAUUGUGUCGUGCAAAGAAUAUCAUUGAAUUUCGUUGUGUUCGUUCUCUAUAGUAUUAGAAUCUAAACGGAUUUCGUUUGGUUUUAAAAAAAGCAAGGAAAAAUAACUAAACGCAACUCAACUCAUAAAUUUUAAACAAACGUGCUAAGAAAAUACUGCUUUGGUGUUUUUCGUUUCGUUUUUUUUUUUUUUUUUUUUUUCAAAUAAAGAAAGUACAAGAAUUUCUAAGAAAUCUCAAAAAAUCAAUUCGACGGAAGAAAAAAAAAAAAUAAAUAAAUAAAAGAAACAAGAACUCUGUGCAAUUUUCUUACCAUGUAUAAGGUGUUAUGCAUGGAUAAAAUUCUACUGUUUAUAUGAGAAAAGCGUGCGUAUUUUUUGUAGGACCCUUUCUUUAGCAACGCGGAAUAACGAAAGCCACGCCACGCAACGACAGAAUUACUACAACAUCAGCAUCACAAAAAGAAUUAAAAAAAAGUAGAAAAACAAGGGUGACUCAGACACAACAGGAAAAAGGAAAACAAUACAAACGAAACAAAAACUAUACAAGUAAAGUCUGCAGCUAGUCACAAGAACAAGAGAAUAACUGCACUAACCAUCAAACCAUCAUCUAUUAGCAACAACGCUGGCAAUUGGAUUGCCCUGCUUAACAGAAAUUGCAGUCAUAACUUCGGUACUUGAAAAGACAACAAAGACAAACAAGUUAAACUUAACAAAUCGACAGAAAGUCAUAAAUAUUGUUAUAUACACAUAAACACACACAUACGCAUACUUAAAAACAACUAUCAAAAUAGCAUAUAUAUAUAUAUAUAUAUAUAUGCGUGUUUGUGUAAAGCUGUAGAUAGGCAAACAUUUACAACUGAAAAAGCAUAAGAAGAAGAACUCAAAUUGAAACUGAGGCUAAGACGCACAAGCAAAUAAAUAUUCAAGUUAUAGUUGCAUAUAAAAUAGCUGCAACAACAUAACGAAUGUCAUAAAGAUCUAAAAGCAUACAGCACAACGCUUGUGACUACUCAAGCAAAUACGAAAAUAUUUACAAAAUAUAACCAAAGUUGAGCGUAGGGAGCCUUCGUUUUUUUUUUUUUUUUUUUUUUUUUUUUUUACAAAGUACCGUAUGAUUGUUUGUAUGUUUUGAAACAUUAUUGCAAACAAGAAUAACACGCAUAUCACAUAAAAUUUUAAUACAACAACUUACAUACGUCUGUGCUUAUGUGCCUGUGCCUGUUGUUAUGCGACCCAUAUUUCGUUAACGCAUUUAAAAAUUGUUACGCAUACAAACGAAAAGUAAACCAGCAGCAACCCUUCGACCGAGUGCCUUCAGUUCGUUUGAGUGUGUUUGCGUUUGCAAAUGAAAAAUUGCUUUCACGUUGCGUUCGUAACUUGAUAUCAAUAGUUAAAAAGGCAUAAUUUGCGAAACAAAAAAAAAAAAAA